rnacentral:ncRNA from 1 species
AUCGCGCCAUCACCCGGUGUCGGGAUUACUGUUUGCACAGAGCCUUUACCGAAUGAUUUUGUACCCAUCAGGACAGCACGGUGAUGGUCUUGCAACGCACCCGAUACAAUUUCGGAUGCAGACGCAGAGCCACCGUUAAUCAGAACAACAACAGGAAGCCCAUCCGCCAGAUCACCAGGGAGGGCGUUGUCGCGUUUAAUCGCUUCGUCAUUGCGUCCGCGUGUGGAGACAAUUUCGCCUUUAUCAAGGAAAGCAUCGGACACGGCAAUCGCUUGGUCAAGCAGACCACCCGGAUUGUUGCGCAG